ACCCACCUGGCUCUUCCCACAGGCUGUGUUUUUGGCACUAACUGUAUAGAAAAAGGAGGCAGAGUGAAACACCCUAGAUCUACCUCAGCCCAGGCCCCUGGCCCGGGUCUGCAUUGUGUAGGCCUGGGGUGGGGUGC
rfam:Erinaceus europaeus unplaced genomic scaffold scaffold00131, whole genome shotgun sequence